UACGAAGGGGGGCUAGCGUUGUUCGGAAUUACUGGGCGUAAAGCGCACGUAGGCGGACAUUUAAGUCAGGGGUGAAAAUCCCGGGGGCUCAACCCCGGAACUGCCUUUGAUACUGGGUGUCUUGAGUCCGGAAGAGGUGAGUGGAAUUGCGAGUGUAGAGGUGAAAUUCGUAGAUAUUCGCAGGAACACCAGUGGCGAAGGCGGCUCACUGGUCCGGUACUGACGCUGAGGUGCGAAAGCGUGGGGAGCAAACAGG
rnacentral:rRNA from 1 species